CCAAAGUAAUAGAAGCAUUUGGUGGAGUAAUAUGGAAAAUACCAGCCAGGCUCUCCGCCAUCAUUUCUGCUGCUGUUACUGACACAUUGAUCACUCCUUCCAAUACGCUGGCGUGGCACCAGCUCUGCCCCCCGAGCAUUACCGCAGACCCCCCAUAAAUUAGUGAUUCCAUAGCUGAUUUCCUCUGGUGUUACCAACACAUACAUCACUGCUUCCAAUACACCAGUGUGGCACCAGCUCUGCCCCCGAGCAUUACCGCAGACCACCAGAGAUUAGUGAUUCCAUAGCUGACUACUACUUCCAAUACGCAGGUGUGGCACCAGCUCUGCCCCUGAGAAUCACCGCAGACCCCCAUAGACUGUAGUGAUUGUCUGUAUGGUUUCUGCUUCCAAUAUGCAGGUGUGGCACCAGCUCUGCCCCUGAGAAUUACCGCAGACCCCCAUAGAUUAGUGAUUCUAUAGCUGAUUUCCUCUGCUGUUACCAACACAUACAUCACUGCUUCCAAUACACCAGUGUGGCACCAGCUCUGCCCCCGAGCAUUACAGCAGACCACCAGAGAUUAGUGAUUCCAUAGCUGACUACUACUUCCAAUAUGCAGGUGUGGCACCAGCUCUGCCCCUGAGAAUUACCGCAGACCCCCAUAGAUUAGUGAUUCCAUAGCUGACUACUACUUCCAAUAUGCAGGCGUGGCACCAGCUCUGCCCCCCGAGCAUUACCGCAGACCCCCAUAGAUUAGUGAUUCCAUAGCUGAUUUCCUCUGGUGUUACCAACACAUACAUCACUGCUUCCAAUACACCAGUGUGGUACCAGCUCUGCCCCCCGAUCAUUACCGCAGACCCCCAUAGAUUAGUGAUUCCAUAGCUGACUACUACUUCCAAUACGCUGGCGUGGCACCAGCUCUGCCCCCGAGCAUUACAGCAGACCACCAGAGAUUAGUGAUUCCAUAGCUGACUACUACUUCCAAUACGCAGGUGUGGCACCAGCUCUGCCCCUGAGAAUCACUGCAGACCCCCAUAGACUGUAGUGAUUGUCUGUAUGGUUUCUGCUUCCAAUACGCAGGUGUGGCACCAGCUCUGCCCCUGAGAAUCACUGCAGACCCCCAUAGACUGUAGUGAUUGUCUGUAUGGUUUCUGCUUCCAAUACGCAGGUGUGGCACCAGCUCUGCCCCUGAGAAUCACCGCAGACCCCCACAGACUGUAGUGAUUGUCUAUAUGGUUUCUGCUUCCAAUACGCAGGCGUGGCACCAGCUCUGCCCCCAAGCAUUACCGCAGAACCCCAUAGAUUAGUGAUUCCAUAGCUGAUUUCCUCUGGUGUUACCAACACAUACAUCACUGCUUCCAAUACACCAGUGUGGCACCAGCUCUGCCCCCGAGCAUUACAGCAGACCCCCACAGACUGUAGUGAUUGUCUAUAUGGUUUCUGCUUUCAAUACGCAGGUGUGGCACCAGCUCUGUCCGAGAAUCACCGCAGACCCCCCAUAGACUGUAGUGAUUGUCUGUAUGGUUUCUGCUUCCAUUACGCAGGUGUGGCACCAGCUCUGUCCGAGAAUCACCGCAGACCCCCAUAGACUGUAGUGAUUGUCUGUAUGGUUUCUGCUUCCAAUACGCAGGUGUGGCACCAGCUCUGCCCCUGAGAAUUACCGCAGACCCCCAUAGACUGUAGUGCUUGUCUAUAUGGUUUCUGCUUCCAAUACGCAGGUGUGGCACCAGCUCUGCCCCUGAGAAUCACUGCAGCCCCCCAUAGACUGUAGUGAUUGUCUGUAUGGUUUCUGCUUCCAAUACACAGGUGUGGCACCAGCUCUGCCCCUGAGAAUCACUGCAGCCCCCCAUAGACUGUAGUGAUUGUCUGUAUGGUUUCUGCUUCCAAUACACAGGUGUGGCACCAGCUCUGCCCCUGAGAAUCACUGCAGCCCCCCAUAGACUGUAGUGAUUGUCUGUAUGGUUUCUGCUUCCAAUACGCAGGUGUGGCACCAGCUCUGUCCGAGAAUCACCGCAGACCCCCAUAGACUGUAGUGAUUGUCUAUAUGGUUUCUGCUUCCAAUAGGCAGGUGUGGCACCAGCUCUGCCCCUGAGAAUCACCGCAGCCCCCCAUAGACUGUAGUGAUUGUCUAUAUGGUUUCUGCUUCCAAUACGCAGGUGUGGCACCAGCUCUGCCCCUGAGAAUUACCGCAGACCCCCAUAGACUGUAGUGCUUGUCUAUAUGGUUUCUGCUUCCAAUACGCAGGUGUGGCACCAGCUCUGCCCCUGAGAAUCACUGCAGCCCCCCAUAGACUGUAGUGAUUGUCUGUAUGGUUUCUGCUUCCAAUACACAGGUGUGGCACCAGCUCUGUCCGAGAAUCACCGCAGACCCCCAUAGACUGUAGUGAUUGUCUAUAUGGUUUCUGCUUCCAAUAGGCAGGUGUGGCACCAGCUCUGUCCCUGAGAAUCACUGCAGCCCCCCAUAGACUGUAGUGAUUGUCUGUAUGGUUUCUGCUUCCAAUACGCAGGUGUGGCACCAGCUCUGUCCGAGAAUCACCGCAGACCCCCAUAGACUGUAGUGAUUGUCUAUAUGGUUUCUGCUUCCAAUAGGCAGGUGUGGCACCAGCUCUGUCCCUGAGAAUCACUGCAGCCCCCCAUAGACUGUAGUGAUUGUCUGUAUGGUUUCUGCUUCCAAUACGCAGGUGUGGCACCAGCUCUGCCCCUGAGAAUCACCGCAGCCCCCCAUAGACUGUAGUGAUUGUCUGUAUGGUUUCUGCUUCCAAUACACAGGUGUGGCACCAGCUCUGCCCCUGAGAAUCACUGCAGCCCCCCAUAGACUGUAGUGAUUGUCUGUAUGGUUUCUGCUUCCAAUAGGCAGGUGUGGCACCAGCUCUGUCCCUGAGAAUCACUGCAGCCCCCCAUAGACUGUAGUGAUUGUCUGUAUGGUUUCUGCUUCCAAUACGCAGGUGUGGCACCAGCUCUGCCCCUGAGAAUCACCGCAGCCCCCCAUAGACUGUAGUGAUUGUCUGUAUGGUUUCUGCUUCCAAUACACAGGUGUGGCACCAGCUCUGCCCCUGAGAAUCACUGCAGCCCCCCAUAGACUGUAGUGAUUGUCUGUAUGGUUUCUGCUUCCAAUACACAGGUGUGGCACCAGCUCUGUCCGAGAAUCACCGCAGACCCCCAUAGACUGUAGUGAUUGUCUAUAUGGUUUCUGCUUCCAAUAGGCAGGUGUGGCACCAGCUCUGUCCCUGAGAAUCACUGCAGCCCCCCAUAGACUGUAGUGAUUGUCUGUAUGGUUUCUGCUUCCAAUACACAGGUGUGGCACCAGCUCUGCCCCUGAGAAUCACUGCAGCCCCCCAUAGACUGUAGUGAUUGUCUGUAUGGUUUCUGCUUCCAAUACACAGGUGUGGCACCAGCUCUGUCCGAGAAUCACCGCAGACCCCCAUAGACUGUAGUGAUUGUCUAUAUGGUUUCUGCUUCCAAUAGGCAGGUGUGGCACCAGCUCUGUCCCUGAGAAUCACUGCAGCCCCCCAUAGACUGUAGUGAUUGUCUGUAUGGUUUCUGCUUCCAAUACGCAGGUGUGGCACCAGCUCUGUCCGAGAAUCACCGCAGACCCCCAUAGACUGUAGUGAUUGUCUAUAUGGUUUCUGCUUCCAAUAGGCAGGUGUGGCACCAGCUCUGUCCCUGAGAAUCACUGCAGCCCCCCAUAGACUGUAGUGAUUGUCUGUAUGGUUUCUGCUUCCAAUACGCAGGUGUGGCACCAGCUCUGCCCCUGAGAAUCACCGCAGCCCCCCAUAGACUGUAGUGAUUGUCUGUAUGGUUUCUGCUUCCAAUACACAGGUGUGGCACCAGCUCUGCCCCUGAGAAUCACUGCAGCCCCCCAUAGACUGUAGUGAUUGUCUGUAUGGUUUCUGCUUCCAAUACGCAGGUGUGGCACCAGCUCUGUCCCUGAGAAUCACCGCAGACCCCCAUAGACUGUAGUGAUUGUCUGUAUGGUUUCUGCUUCCAAUACGCAGGUGUGGCACCAGCUCUGCCCCUGAGAAUCACCGCAGACCCCCAUAGACUGUAGUGAUUGUCUGUAUGGUUUCUGCUUCCAAUACGCAGGUGUGGCACCAGCUCUGCCCCUGAGAAUCACCGCAGACCCCCCAUAGACUGUAGUGAUUGUCUGUAUGGUUUCUGCUUCCAAUACGCAGGUGUGGCACCAGCUCUGCCCCUGAGAAUCACCGCAGACCCCCCAUAGACUGUAGUGAUUGUCUAUAUGUUUUCUGCUGCUGUUACUGAAACACAAAUCUCAGCUCAUUUAUAGGACAAAGUGAAUGUGAAGUCCGAGGCCAAAGGGAAAACAGAUUUUCAUUAUUUUUCUGAGUAUGAGAGAAACCACUGACCCUUCUGUGCCUUAAUGUACAAAUACCAAAGAGCCCUCCAGCUGCUUGUGAAAUAUAAUCACUGUGUGUAUUAUAAUGUAACGCAUCAUUAUACAAUGUUAUCUGCAUGCGUGUUUAUUACUGUGAUCUUGUUCUAUGUGAAGAUGAGAUGCGGAGAUUGGACUCAUUACUGUGGGUUAUAGUACAGCACCGAGCAGACUCAUUCUCCGUGUCAGGAUGUGGAGCUGCUGCACGGAACCCAAACCAGCCCCAGAACUCAUCCGUCACAUUAUAAAUCCCACAGUAUAGUUGGCGGAGCCCAGUAGAGCUUCUCUGGAUCCAGCUGGAUGUCCCAUUUACAUGGUCCUGUAGUAGAGGGAUGGACGAGGAUGAUGUCAUUGGUUGGAUUUCCCAUUGAUCACAUCCCAUCCACAGUCACAUUGUAAAUUGGAGGAGGGCUGACCGGGCACAAAUCGCUGUUGCAGUAUUAAUCCCCAAAUAUAUCUUGUUAGCCCCAAUUACACCCCCAUCAGUGUUGUAUCCAUGGUACGAUGUGGCCUUGUGCCCUGGCUCUUGGUGAAAGUUCCUGGGCUGCUGCAUCUCCCCUGUGUGGGCUGGGGGCCAGUGUCUGGACGUUCCGUAUAAAGGGUCCUCCGCAAUCUCUUCUCACAUCUACCUCUGCCCUGUGCUUGUUCCCAUGAUACUGACGUGUGGAGUGUGUGACAUUUGUAUAACACUAAAUAAAGAUGAUUGUGAUUUGUUACUGA